GAGGGGAGGCCCAAGCCAGCA
rnacentral:miRNA from 1 species